rnacentral:lncRNA from 1 species
CAACCUUAUGUCCAACAUAGAACAGAAGAACAAAAAGUAAAAUUAAAAAACAAAAAAAUCUCUAUUAAAAGUGAGUAGCAAUCCAAACUAACAUGGAUAUCAUACUUUUACAUAUGUUUGUUGAAUUAUCCAAUCAUGCCAUCUUAAAGUAGUGGAGGCGAAUCACGACCAAUAUUCUCAAAGAUCAAAUCACGCAUGAAUUCUUCAUCAGUCAAGCUCAUAAAUACUUUAGUCAGACUCUCGUCCGAUCGAAAUACUAUCAUGACUUGCAUUAUGUCAUGCUUCUCAAUGUUCAUGCUUUGUAAUUUUUGUAGAACCAAUUGCCAAUUGAUGUGAUUUAGCGUAUCUAACGUUGCUUGAAUCUCCAUAGCAUUAGCAAUUUUUUUUGACGAUUCAGCAAUGUUGGAUAGGGCUAUGAGACUCUCAUCAUUAGGUUGACUACGUCGUCGUCGUCGUCGAAUUUUGUUAGUUCCUCCGUCAAUGUUACGCUUGGGAGCCCGGACUGGGCUUGGAUCUCUAUCCUCGUUUUGAUCGUCAACUUCAUUCAAUUUUUCAUCUGAAAAAAAGGAACUUUUUCGGAUCUUUUAUAUCAUAUGAAUUAUAAUAUAUAUAUAUAUAUAUAUAUAUAUAUAUAUAUAUAUAUAUAUAUAUUAUCAUUGCGGGUUACAGCGCGAUCUCCCGUAGCAGAGUCAUUUCCAAAGAUAGCCUCCAUAUCAUCAUAACGAGGACAAAGCUUAGUCCUCCACUUUCCGAAUUCUGGUUUCCCCUACAAAGGGAAAAAGAGUGGAAUAUAUGCUACACGUAAUCAAUGUUCAAAAGAUACCAUACUACUAAUAUUUAAUGCCUAAUAAGUUGGUUGAUGAAAUAUUUUACCUUCAAAAACUCUUCCCAAG